ACCGCGGUAGCUCAGCUGGUAGAGCAUCUGUCCGAUAUGCGGAGUGUUGCCUGGUUCGAUUCCGGUUCGCGGUG
rnacentral:tRNA from 1 species